rnacentral:lncRNA from 1 species
GGACACUAUUCUCAACAUGCUCGCCCCCGUGUCAACCCCGACCACCCACCCUUGCAACCCCCUCCGCACCUCGGUGGCCCGAUCAACAAAAAAAAAGGUUGGAAGAACCCUUACCUCUAGCAGAUGACAGACGGCAAAGACGGCAUCAGAGGCACGGAUGGCAACGGUGCGGACAGUAACGACGGCGGCAAUGGUGGAGAGGCACUCACCGACAGAAAAAGAGGGAGGAG